GACGAACGCUGGCGGCGCGCCUAACACAUGCAAGUCGAACGAGAGAGAAGGAGCUUACUUCUUCGAUCGAGUGGCGAACGGGUGAGUAACGCGUGAGGAACCUGCCUCAAAGAGGGGGACAACAGUUGGAAACGACUGCUAAUACCGCAUAAGCCCACGGGUCGGCAUCGACCAGAGGGAAAAGGAGCAAUCCGCUUUGAGAUGGCCUCGCGUCCGAUUAGCUAGUUGGUGAGGUAAUGGCCCAUCAAGGCGACGAUCGGUAGCCGGACUGAGAGGUUGAACGGCCACAUUGGGACUGAGACACGGCCCAGACUCCUACGGGAGGCAGCAGUGGGGAAUAUUGCACAAUGGGGGAAACCCUGAUGCAGCGACGCCGCGUGGAGGAAGAAGGUCUUCGGAUUGUAAACUCCUGUUGUUGAGGAAGAUAAUGACGGUACUCAACAAGGAAGUGACGGCUAACUACGUGCCAGCAGCCGCCGUAA
rnacentral:rRNA from 1 species